CUUUAAGAAACACCUACCAAC
rnacentral:miRNA from 1 species